rnacentral:misc_RNA from 1 species
AAGUCGUAACAAGGUUUCCGUAGGUGAACCUGCGGAAGGAUCAUUAUUGAAUAAGCUUGGUUGGGUUGUUGCUGGCUCUUCGGAGCAUGUGCACGCCUAACACCAACCUUUUUAACCACCUGUGCACCUUUUGUAGACCUGGAUAUCUCUCGAGGAAACUCGGUAUGAGGACUGCUGUGCGUCAAAGCCGGCUUUCCUUACAUUUCCGGUCUAUGUCUUUAUAUGCACCAUUAGUAUGUCUAUGAAUGUUAUUAUCGGACUUGACUGUCCAAUAAACCUUAUACAA